UACGGAGGAUGCGAGCGUUAUCCGGAUUUAUUGGGUUUAAAGGGUGCGUAGGCGGACUGUCAAGUCAGCGGUAAAAUUGGGUGGCUCAACCUCUUCCCGCCGUUGAAACUGGUGGUCUUGAGUGGAUGAGAAGUACGCGGAAUGCGUGGUGUAGCGGUGAAAUGCAUAGAUAUCACGCAGAACUCCGAUUGCGAAGGCAGCGUACCGGCAUCCAACUGACGCUGAGGCACGAAAGCGUGGGGAUCAAACAGG
rnacentral:rRNA from 1 species